CCAUGAUCCUCCCUUCCUCUCCUUUUAGACACAGACCGGGAUACCCACUGAAGAAUGUCUCAUCACCUCUCCAGUUAUCCCUGGAUCGAUCCAGCCAUCAGCACAAGAUGAUCUUGGUGCCCUGGCAGAUGAUCUUGGUGCCCUGGCAGAUGAUCUUGGUGCCCUGGCAGAUGAUCUUGGUGCCCUGGCAGAUGAUCUUGGUGCCCUGGCAGAUGAUCUUG